rnacentral:rRNA from 1 species
UACAGAGGGUGCGAGCGUUAAUCGGAAUUACUGGGCGUAAAGCGCGCGUAGGCGGCUUUGCAAGUCGGGUGUGAAAUCCCCAGGCUUAACCUGGGAACUGCAUUCGAGACUGCAUUGCUAGAGUAUGGGAGAGGGAAGUGGAAUUUCCGGUGUAGCGGUGAAAUGCGUAGAGAUGUGGAGGAACACCGAUGGCGAAGGCAGCCUCCUGGGCCAGCACUGACGCUCAUGCACGAAAGCGUGGGGAGCAAACAGG